UACAGAGGGGGCAAGCGUUGUUCGGAAUUACUGGGCGUAAAGGGCGCGUAGGCGGCCUUCUAAGUCGAACGUGAAAUCCCCGGGCUCAACCCGGGAACUGCGUCCGAUACUGGAAGGCUUGAAUCCGGGAGAGGGAUGCGGAAUUCCAGGUGUAGCGGUGAAAUGCGUAGAUAUCUGGAGGAACACCGGUGGCGAAGGCGGCUCACUGGACCGGUACUGACGCUGAGGUGCGAAAGCGUGGGGAGCAAACAGG
rnacentral:rRNA from 1 species